rnacentral:lncRNA from 1 species
CAGGCACAAAGUACCCUGAACUCUGGUAUAAGUUCUUGGUCCCUUAGAAAAGGAAUCUGCUGCUGUCCUUAAGGAGCCUGUAAGAUUUCUGGGGUUAUAGAAUACAUUGUUUGUAAUAGAAAAUUAUGAAAGGGUGAGUCUGCAGGGCUAAAAUGUUGAAGAGUGUGUGUGCAUUAAGAGUCUUUUAGUUGCAAGUGGUAGAAACUCAACUCAAAAUGGCUUCAGGAGACAAGAAUACAUGUAUUGGAACACUUAACUGAUUCAGAUAUGGCUGGAUCAAUGAGUUCAAAUAAUGCCAUUGGGCAUAUGUCUCCUUUUGUUUUAUUCUUGAUUCUUAACCAGUCUCUCCUCAGUAAGGGAAAAGAUGGGCACAGGCAUCUCCAGGGUCUACACCCUACCAGCUUGUCCUCCCCAGAAUAAAAAUUGUGUCUAUUUCCCAACAUAGGUUUAACAAACAUCCUGAGGUCCGGUAGUUGGCCCAGGUUUGGUGGUAUCUCAUUCUUGGAGCCUGGGGUUGGAGUUGAGCUUCAGUGACAUGAGGUUAGUUUGACUCCCCCCUUUCAGAUGAAGGUAAGUAACACGUGUAAUGUGCUCUGAAUCCGGAGACAUGGCCCUCCUUUUAUCAGAAAGCUCUUUGUUGGGGGGAAAGACAAUUAGAUAGCUAAGGCAGGGCUGAAUCGUGUGGAGUCUUACCUCGUCCUAACAGAGCUGUGCUCCCACCAUCCCAAAUCCAU